CAUUAUCCAUCUCACACACCUGUGCACACACUGUAGGUCGGCUUUUGAUUGGAGUGGGGUCUUCAUCGACUCUGCUUUUUAGUUGGGGCCUUCCUAUGUUUUAUCACACACUACUUCAGUUAAAAGAAUGUCCUCUUGCGUCUAACGCAUUUAAAUACAACUUUCAGCAACGGAUCUCUUGGCUCUCGCAUCGAUGAAGAACGCAGCGAAAUGCGAUAAGUAAUGUGAAUUGCAGAAUUCAGUGAAUCAUCGAAUCUUUGAACGCACCUUGCGCUCCUUGGUAUUCCGAGGAGCAUGCCUGUUUGAGUGUCAUGGAAUUCUCAACUCUAUUUGCUUUUGUGAAUAGAGCUUGGACUUGGAGGUUUAUUGCCGGUACCUGUGAUCGGCUCCUCUUGAAUGCAUUAGCUCGAACCUUUUGUGGAUCAGCUUAUCGGUGUGAUAAAAUGUCUACGCCGUUACUGUGAAGCAUAUUAUUCGGCUUCCAAUCGUCCUUCACGGGACAAUAAC
rnacentral:rRNA from 1 species